rnacentral:rRNA from 1 species
UACGUAGGCAGCGAGCGUUGUUCGGAAUUACUGGGCGUAAAGUGUGCGCAGGCGGCCGCGCAAGUCGAGUGUGAAAGCCCCGGGCUUAACUUGGGAAUUGCGCUCGAAACUACGUGGCUGGAGUGUGGCAGAGGAAGGUGGAAUUCCACGUGUAGCGGUGAAAUGCGUAGAGAUGUGGAGGAACACCAAUGGCGAAGGCAGCCUUCUGGGCCAACACUGACGCUCAUGCACGAAAGCGUGGGGAGCAAACAGG